rnacentral:rRNA from 1 species
GAUGAACGCUGGCGGCGUGCCUAAUACAUGCAAGUCGAGCGACCGGACGAGAAGCUUUCUUCUCUGCUGUUAGCGGCGGACGGGUGAGUAACACGUGGAUAACCUACCUAUAAGACUGGGAUAACUUCGGGAAACCGGAGCUAAUACCGGAUAAUAUUUUGAACCGCAUGGUUCAAAAGUAAAAGACGCUCUUGCUGUCACUUAUAGAUGGAUCCGCGCUGCAUUAGCUAGUUGGUAAGGUAACGGCUUACCAAGGCAACGAUGCAUAGCCGACCUGAGAGGGUGAUCGGCCACACUGGAACUGAGACACGGUCCAGACUCCUACGGGAGGCAGCAGUAGGGAAUCUUCCGCAAUGGGCGAAAGCCUGACGGAGCAACGCCGCGUGAGUGAUGAAGGUCUUCGGAUCGUAAAACUCUGUUAUUAGGGAAGAACAUAUGUGUAAGUAACUGUGCACAUCUUGACGGUACCUAAUCAGAAAGCCACGGCUAACUACGUG